rnacentral:rRNA from 1 species
ACUGCUAAUACCGCAUACGAUCUAAUCUCGGCAUCGAGGAAAGAUGAAAGGUGGCCUCUAUUUAUAAGCUAUCACUGAAGGAGGGGAUUGCGUCUGAUUAGCUAGUUGGAGGGGUAACGGCCCACCAAGGCGAUGAUCAGUAGCCGGUCUGAGAGGAUGAACGGCCACAUUGGGACUGAGACACGGCCCAGACUCCUACGGGAGGCAGCAUG